rnacentral:rRNA from 1 species
UACGUAGGGUGCAAGCGUUAAUCGGAAUUACUGGGCGUAAAGCGUGCGCAGGCGGUUUGGUAAGACAGAUGGGAAAUCCCCGGGCUUAACCUGGGAACUGCAUUUGUGACUGCCCGGCUAGAGUGUGUCAGAGGGGGGUAGAAUUCCACGUGUAGCAGUGAAAUGCGUAGAUAUGUGGAGGAAUACCGAUGGCGAAGGCAGCCCCCUGGGAUAACACUGACGCUCAUGCACGAAAGCGUGGGGAGCAAACAGG